CCGGCGACAGGGUACGCGGAGCAAUGGCGGCCGGCACCGCCCAUCUGCCCCACCCCGGCUUCACGUGACUAACUGGGCUUGUGCGCGCAAUCGGGAGGGGCGGACUCCUUUCCCCGCAGGCCGGAAACCCCGCACCUAAUAGUGGGAAAAAGACAGCCUUACCACUGUCACCUUGGCCAGCUUCCACGGCGGAGAUCCACAAAGCCGACGGUAAGAAAUCUGAGGCCGUUUUGUCAGAGCUCCAGGAUCUCAGCUGCAGCAGCUCCCGCUGUGCGACUUGUCCUGGGCGUCCAGGUCUCGGCUCCUGCGGGCCAGGCAGCUCCACCUCCCAGGCGUCACCCCUGACAGCCGCCCUGUGGAUCCUCCGCUGUUCGGCGUCCCGGAUUCGGUGCCCGGAAGCGGUGUAGACGGAGUCUAUGGGGCUCAGGACCUGAGGUUCUGCUCUGCCUUGGCCCCCACUUGGCGUGGAUGGCGCACAGAUUGGUGUCCUCAAAGAGCCCCACCAGGUAGGCCUCGCAGGCCUCCUGCAGCGCCAUCACCGCAGAGCUCUGGAAACGCAGGUCGGUGUUAAAGCACUGCGCGAUCUCACGGACCAGACGCUGGAAUGGCAGCUUGCGAAUCAGUAGCUCGGUGGACUUCUGGUACUGGCGGAUUUCCCGGAGAGCGACGGUGCCCGGCCGGUAGCGGUGCGGCUUCUUCCCGCCGCGGGUGGCUGGAGCGCUCUUGCGAGCAGCCUUGGUGGCCAGCUGCUUGCGCGGCGUUUGCCGCCAGUGGACUUACGAGCUGUUUGCUUCGUACGAGCCAUGAGAAGGGGUUUCAGAAAAUGGUUGCGACUCGAGGGCUAUUUUCUUACUCCGCUAUGGUUUGUGUUCCACUCCCAUAGGAAUCUUUUUUUUUUUUUUUUUUUUUGAUAUUACACUUUAAUAGGUUUCAGAAGGCUCCGUGGAGAAAUGCUAAUAGGCUGAAAUGUCCCAAUCGAGAGGGAUUCAGUUCGCGCUCAGCCGAUCUAAUCCUUUUUUCUGCUCUGAUUUUUUGUUGGUGGGGGGAAAGGGGAGCACCACGUAAAGAGGGGCUUUGGGGAGGGGCGCGCGGUGCGAAGGGCGGCAGCCCGGGCCUGGGCCGAGCCGGGGGCGCGCCCUGGUCCGCGUUUCUAUAGGAACCUCUUUUAGAAGAUCAGAGACUCACCCGCUGCCCGCCGCCGCGGCCUCUCCAAAAUAUUAAUCAGUAAUCAUCUGACACUGCGUUUCAGGGAGGGACCUGCAGGCCAGUGCUAGGAAAACAGCCUUUUCCCCUGCCCAUCUCACCCGACCGCGCUGCUGGGGGAGAGGGAAUGAAUCGCUGCUUUGUAUUAAAAGGAAGAAAAAAAAAAACAGGGAAAAAGCAGCCCUUGUCUGUUUUGGCGUCUCCACCGCGCGUACUAGAAACGCACCCUAGGGGAGGCGGGGGCCCGGGGCUCGGGGCAGGGGGCAGGGGCCAGGGUGCAGCUCGCCGGGCCCCCAGGCCCUCCCCAGCUCGCUUGGCUUGUCACCUCCUCCUGCCUGCAUAGGAAUCUUUUUGGCUUGCUGCAUGCUAGAGGAGACCAGUCAGCUAGCUCUUCCUGAAACUACAAUGUCUCCGAUAUUUUCAACUCAAAAUAAUCACUAUAGCAAUCUAGCAUAUUUUGGGAUGGCACAUACUUUAGUACUUCAAGAUACAGAAAGCAAGAAAACCAGGGAAACCUACAGACCUACAACAAUAUUUGAGUUCCUCUCAUUUUAAAACAAGUUUCCUCUAAAACUUACCUCCAGGUUGGGAGGUGGCUCACGCCUGUAAUCCCAGCACUUUGGAAGGCUGAGGCGGGUGGAUCAUGAGGUCAGGAGUUCGAGACCAGCCUAGCCAACAUGGCAAAAACCCGUCUCUACUAAAAGCACAAAAAUUAGCCAGGUGUGGUGGCGGGCACCUGUAAUCCCAGCUAUUCAGGAAGCUGAGGCAGGAGAAUCCCUUAAACCAGGAGGCAGAGGCUGCAGUGAGGCGAUGUUGCGCCUCUGCACUCCAGCCUGGGCGACAAGAGCAAGACUCUGCCUCAAAACAACCAAUAACAAAAAACCCACGUCCAUUCAUCUGCAAACAUAGCUCCUUUGCUUCCCAUGCAGACUUUCCCAGGGUCACGUUUUUGUUUUGUUUUUUUUUGCUUGGUGAGUGUGUGUGUGUGUGUGUGUGUGUGUGUGUGUCGGAAUCUUGCUCUGUUGCCCACAGUGGAGUACAGUAGUGCAAUUUUGGCUCACUGCAGCCUCCACCUCCAGGGUUCAAGUGAUUCUCCUGUCUCAGCCUCCCAACUAGCUAGGAUUACAGGUGCCCACCACCAUGCCUGCCUAAUUUUUGUAUUUGUAGUAGAGACAGGUUUCCCCAGGUUGGCCAGGCUGGUCUUGAACCCUUGACCUCAGGUGAUCCACCCAUCUUGGCCUCCCUAAAUGCUGGGAUUACGGGCAUGAGCCACUGCGCCCAGCCCCCCAGGGUCAUGCUACACUUGCUGUCCUCACUUCUAGCCUCCCGUUCAUAUAUUUCUUCCCUGGGAAAAGCAUCCCUCCCCUCUGUCCCCUGGAACUGCAAUAGGUCCCUUAAACCAGAGUUAGGUCUUAAAUGGAAUUCUGGAAAGCAAGAAACUAAAUGAGAGAUUUCCAUGGUAGAGGAUUGCCAGUGGUGUUGUGUAAGGUGGUAUAGGGUGGGAGAGUCCGUUUAGAGUUGGAAUAGCUGUCCCCAGGUGAGGAGAGGGGUGGCUUGUACUCAUCUAGUUCCAGAGGAUUCAGGCAAAGAGCUUUGGAAUACUAAUCCCCCAUUAAUCUGGUUUUAAUUAUUGGAGAUCGACUAAGGUCUGAAAAUAUUAAAUAGAAAAUUCCAGAAAUACCAUAUGCAAUUCAUAGAUUAUUCAUUGUGAACAGGUCUGAGUAGAUGAUAAAAUCUCUUGCUAUCCUGCUCAUCUCACCCAGUUCAUGAAUUCUCCCUAAUCCACCCGUUAGUCAUUCAGUAGCCAACUCAGUUAGCAGGUGUGUAGAUAUCACAGUGCUUGCGUUCAAGGAGCCCUUAUUUCACUUCAUAAUGACCCCAAAGGAAGAGAGUAGUGAUGCUGGCAAUUUAGAGAUGCUGGAGGAGACCAUAAAGUGCUACCUUUAAGGGAAAAGGUGAAAGCUAGCCUAGCGUGGUGGCUCACACUUGUAAUCCCAGCACUUUGGGAAGCUGAGGUGGGUGGAUCAUGAGGUCAGGAGAUCAAGACCAUCCUGGCCAACAUGGUGAAAGCCCAUCUCUACUAAAAAGCAAAAAAUUAGCUGAGUAUAGUGGCAUGCACCUGUAGUCCCCAGCUACUUGGGAGCCUGAGGCAGGAGAAUCACUUGAACCUGGAAGGCGAAGGUUGCAGUGAGCCGAGAUUGAGCCAUUGCACUCCAGCCUGAGUGACAGAGUGAGAUUCCUUCUCAAAAAAAAAGGAGGUCGGAGCGCAGUGGCUCACGCCUGUAAUCCCAGCACUUUGGGAGGUCAAGGUGGGCAUAUUGCCUGACAUCAAGAGUUCAAGACCAGCCUGACCAACACGAUGAAACCCCCAUCUUAAAAUAAAAUAAAAACAGAAAACUUAGCUUGGCAUUGUUGUGGGCUCCCAUAAUCCCAGCCACUCAGGAGGCUGAGACAGAAUCAUUUGAACCCAGGAGGUGGAGGUAGCAGUGAGCAGAUUUCACCACCGCACUCCAGCUCAGCUGAUGGAGACUCUGUCUCAAAAUAAUAAUAGUAAUAAUAAUUAAGGAAAAUAUAUAUAUAUACACACACACACACACACACACACAUUCACAAAGGAAAAAAUCCAGGUGUGGAGGCUUACUCCUGUAAUUCCAGCACUUUGGGAGGCUGAGGUGGGAGAUCGGAUUGAUUCCAGGAGUUCAAGACCAGCCUGGGCAACAUGGGUGAAACCCUGUCUCUACUAAGAAAAAAAAAAUUAGCCAGGUGUGCUGGCAUGGGACUGUAAUUUCGGCCACUGGGGAGGCUGAAGCAGGAGAAUUGCUUGAACUGAGAUCGUGCCACAGCACCCAGGCUGGAGUGCAAUGGCUCAAUCUCUGCUCACUGCAACUGUGGCCUCCCAGGUUCAAGUGAUUGUCCUGCCUCAGCCUCCUGAGUAGCUGGGAUUACAAGCACCCACCACCAAGCCCAGCCUGGGCCAGGUAGGCCUGCGUACCCUGAUGGUUCCCUCUCUAUGACACAUUGGGAACUUAUUUUUGAGACGCCCAGGCUGGAGUGCAAGUAGCCUAGGCUCACUGCAACCUCCACCUCCUGAGUUCAAUUAGUUCUCCUGCCUUAGCCUCCUGGGUAGCUGGGAUUGCAGGUUGCACGCCACCACAACCAGCUAAUUUUUUUUAUCUCCCAUAGAGAGGAGGUUUUACCAUGUUGGUCAGGCUGGUCUCGAACUCUCAGCUUGUGAUCUGCCCACCUCAGCCUCCCAAAGUGCUGGAAUUACAGGGGUGAGCCACCAUGCCUGGCCGACACAUUGGGAACUUGAUGCCCUUUGCCUGCCACUGUCUCCCUGAGGGCCAGGAAUGUACCCAACUCUUCUCUUUGUCCCUAGCACCCAAGACAGAGUCAGGCUCAGCUCCUGCCUUUGUGGCAGCCUGUAUCUACAGGCCCAGCCCUGGCCUCCCAGUGGCCUCUUUAGGCCAAGCUAGUACCUCCUGGUGGCCUCUCUGGGCCCAGUGUUGGCUUUCUGAGGUUUCAGUGAGGCAAGAGGACACCACUGCAUUCCAGCCUGGGCGACAGAGCAAGACACUGUCUCCAAAAAAAAAAAAAAAAAAAAAAAUGCCAAAGCCUGAAAAAAGACCUCCAAAGGCCAAUCUCAGGUUCUACAAUGUGAUGAUACAGAGUGAUUGGGGAAUUUGCAAAAAUCUUGUGACCUCUGGAAUAAUGGAUGAAUUCAGGCCACUCUCACCCUCCUAACUUGGUAGUCUUUUAUUAGUUUUAGAGGGGUAGCUUGUUGGGUUGGCUUUCUUAUUUAAACUUUGAACUAAAUUUCUGAUUUCUGUGACUGUCUCAAUUUUACAAAGGCAGUCUUUUCAGAGAGGUUAGAACCAGAGCAACUCCAUCUUGAAUAGGGUCUGGGUAAAAUGAGGCUGAAUCCUGCUGGGCCACAUUUCCAGGAUGUCAGUCAUUCUAUUUUUUU